UCAGAAUUUUAGCGAGAGGUCUGAGAUGUCUUACAAUCCAGAGAGGAUGCUUUAUGGGAUGAUGAAUAUUCAAGAGUACGGUGCAGCUUGGCUAGAGGGUUGGACUGAUGUCUCUUCAGACUAUGUUGAUGAUCCAGACAUCUACGAGCGUCACAGACACUCAACAAGAAAUUAAAUGCAGAGUACAUCUUAAGGUUCGUAUAUCAGUUAUUGCGCUUUGUACUUAAAUAUUUAGAUACAUUUUAAUGCGUAUUUUAUAUAUUUUUUCUUUAGUUUUAAGAUGACAUAGUUGAAAUAUAAUGUAAAUAAAUAUAUGUUUGAAAUUUUGGAUCAAGAGUCUUUGUACUGCAACCUAACUCCAAAUUGAACCUAAAUAUGUCAAUAAUAUGCAAUAUAAUGCCAUAUUGAGGUUGUAUUUAUCAAUUAUUAAUUUUAAAAAUCAAAAAAAAAAUUGAAAAUCGAAAAAAAUUAUGUACCGGUACUGGAUCGGUAUGCUUGGGCAUACCGUGUGUCGGUACGGUAUGGUACCGGUAUCGUACCGUAUCGAUCCGGUAUCGGUACGUUGUUCGGUACCGGUACAGCAAACCUUGGGAGUCAUUGGCUGAAAACUCGCUAUAUGGGCUAGACAGAAAGUUUAAGGGGUUAAAACACUCAAUACCAGUACAACGUUAAAAAAACACAAAAAAAUAAAAAUAAAAAUAAAAAUCAAUAAAUAGAG
rnacentral:lncRNA from 1 species